AACUAAGAAGCAGUAAAUAGCUUUGUUAGUGUUUCUAUGGUCAAAAUGUGUCACAAUCUAAAGCCUUUAACUAAUUAUAAGAGUUAGAGAUGGAUUAGGAGUGUUUAGACAAUACUUAUACCCAUUUUCUCCCAAAAGAGGCUAAAACCAACAAAACAUUGCUUAGAAGAAGUAAAUAGCUUUGUUAGUGUUUCUAUGGUCAAAAUGUGUCACAAUCCAAAGCCUUUGACUAAGUAUAAGAGUUAGGGAUGGAUUAAGAAUGUUUAGACAACACUUAUACCCAUUUUCUCCCAAAAGAGGCUAAAACCAACAAAAUUUGCUUAGAAGCAAUAAAUAGCUUUGUUUGUGUUUCUAUGGUCAAAAUGUGUCACAAUCCAAUGCAUUUGACUAAUGAUAAGAGUUUCGGAUGGAUUAGGAGUGUUUAGACAACACUUAUACCCAUUUUUCUCCCAAAAGAGGCUAAUACCAACAAACAAAUUGCUUAGAAACAGUUAACAGUUUUGAUAGUGUUUUUAUGGCAAAAUAUUUCACAAUCCAAUGCAUUUGACUAAUGCUAAGAGUUUGAGAUGGAUUAGAAGUGUUUAGACAACACUUAUACCCAUUUUCUCCCAAAAGAGGCUAAAACCAACAAAACAUUGCUUAGAAACAGUAAACGGUUUUGAUAGUGUUUUUAAGGCAAAAUGUUUCACAAUCCAAUGCAUUUGUAUAUUAUAAGAGUUAGAGAUGGAUUAGGAGUGUUUAGACAACACUUAUACCCAUUUUCUCCCAAAU
rnacentral:sRNA from 1 species